UUGAUUACGUCCCUGCCCUUUGUACACACCGCCCGUCGCUGCCCGGGACUGAGCCAUUUCGAGAAACUCGGGGAUUGUUGGUCUGGUUGCUUUCGGGCAGCCGUUCUGGCGAGAACCGAUUUAAUCGCAGUGGCUUGAACCGGGCAAAAGUCGUAACAAGGUAGCUGUAGGUGAACCUGCUGCUGGAUCAUUACCCACCUGAUUACAAAUCACCACCUACCUUGGCCGAUGUUGAGAGGAGUGGGCGCACGCAUCCCUCGCGGGGUUGCCGAGAGCAAUGCCUAAACGUCCGUGUUCGGUCUACGGAGGCGAUGUGUCCAAGCCAGACUGGCUGCUGCUCCUCUUUCGGCCUAAACGCCCUGUGGGUUACUGUUUUUGUGUGGGGUGUCAUUUGGUGCACAGUGAGCGCACGCUUUCCUCUGGCGUGAGGCAAAGUGUCCGGGCGACUCCUCUCGGGGAGAAGCCGCAUUGUGUGCUGGUGGCACGCCCCAGGGCUAACGGCUGCCGUUGGCGUCUCUGCGUUGUUGAGCAGUUGUUGUGCACUUGCGUUGUGCGGGAGCAAAACCGCGUUGGACAUGUGGCAAUUGGGCCAACCGUCCACUGUGGUACCCGUGCGGCGCUUGUGUGCUACGUCCGUGGCUGUGAUGAGACAACGCGACAGGGUUCGGCCUUGCCUGGCCGGGCCUAGACUUGAUGAGCCCCUCGCACGUUGGGCCGCCAACACCCCUUUUUUUCACUAAAAUUUUUUAAAGUCGCACUUUGUGCGCAAACAGAAAGAAAUUCUAGUCUUAUCGGUGGAUCACUCGGCUCGUAGGUCGAUGAAGAACGCAGCCAACUGCGAUAAGUAGUGUGAACUGCAGAAACCUUGAACACAGAACAUUCGAAUGCACAUUGCGCCAUCGGAGUCACAUCCUUUGGCACGCCUGGUUCAGGGUCGUUUUCCUAAAACGCACAGCGUGUGCGUGUACACUGGCUGUCGGAUCAACGCGUGUGACCAAACCGUUGUUCUGGCAUUUGUGUGGUGCGCCCGGCGGUGUCGAGUAGCGCUGGCAUGGACUUGUUUACGCAAUGCAACAUUUGUGUGUCCAUGUUCCAUCUGUGAGUGGUUUAGGCGUGGCUUGGCACUUGCUCGGGUAGCAGCUUGUUGUAAGCAAAUCAACAUUUUCGACCUGAACUCAGACGUGAACACCCGCUGAACUUAAGCAUAUCAGUAAGC
rnacentral:rRNA from 1 species